rnacentral:rRNA from 1 species
UACGUAGGGUGCAAGCGUUAAUCGGAAUUACUGGACGUAAAGCGUGCGCAGGCGGUGAUGUAAGACAGGUGUGAAAUCCCCGGGCUUAACCUGGGAACUGCAUUUGUGACUGCAUCGCUGGAGUGCGGCAGAGGGGGAUGGAAUUCCGCGUGUAGCAGUGAAAUGCGUAGAUAUGCGGAGGAACACCGAUGGCGAAGGCAAUCCCCUGGGCCUGCACUGACGCUCAUGCACGAAAGCGUGGGGAGCAAACAGG